AACGUAGGUACCGAGCGUUAUCCGGAUUUACUGGGCGUAAAGCGUGUUCAGGCGGCCUGGCAAGUCGGGCAUGAAAUCUCUCGGCUCAACCGGGAGAGGCUGUCCGAUACUGCUGGGCUUGAGGACGGUAGAGGGUGGUGGAAUUCCGCGUGUAGUGGUUAAAUGCGUAGAUAUGCGGAGGAACACCAGUGGCGAAGGCGGCCACCUGGACCGUCCCUGACGCUCAAACACGAAAGCUAGGGUAGCGAACGGG
rnacentral:rRNA from 1 species